rnacentral:sRNA from 1 species
GGUGAGAUUGGCACCGAGUGCCGGAGAUAGGGGCGUCUGGGGGUGGGGUCCCGGGUCUGCUCAGGAGCUGGGGCAUGGGCACUUGGAACGAGGAUUGCUCUCCCGCCCCCACUAUUGUACGGACGACAACGCGGAGGCCUGGCAUUCUCUCCCAGCCUAGAAACUGAUCCCUAGUCAGCCCUCUAGCAUCUGUUGAAUGGGAAGCUUAGACCGUGAUCGGGCCGCGACGCCCCGCUUCCAUUAGUGCGCCGAAAUAGAGGGUCACUUCGUCAGCUGAGACCUCCCUUUUCUCCAGGCCACGGGGACAGACCAGGUGGUGGGACUCGGCCUCGUCGCCGUUAGCCUGAUCAUCUUCACCUACUACACCGCCUGGGUGAUUCUCUUGCCAUUCAUCGACAGUCAGCAUGUCAUCCACAAGUAUUUCCUGCCCCGAGCCUAUGCUGUCGCCAUCCCACUGGCUGCAGGCCUCCUGCUGCUCCUGUUUGUGGGACUGUUCAUCUCCUACGUGAUGCUGAAGAGCAAGAGAGUGCCCAAGAAGGCUCAGUGAAGGUCCCGCGGGGAUGAGGCUGCCAGCCCCUUCUCUGCUUCCCCUCCAGCACAGGGACCAAGUUGGGGAGCCUGCAGAACCUGUCCAGGCACAGUGGCUCCUCAAGCCUGCCUGUCCUGCAGAGUCCCCAUGGCAUGGAGUUUACCCCUGACUGACUGGAGCCCCCUCCCCGACUCCCACUUCCAGAAGCUAGGAGGGAGGGAUACCUGGAAGACUCCGGUCACCCCCUUCUUGCUCAGGGCCUAAAAGUUGCUGGUCCUCCCAACCUCACUCUCAGACUCCCUGCCACCUUUUUCCCUGGGUUCUGCCAUCUUGCCUCACUUCCCCUCCUGUCACUUGCUGACGUUGGACUUAGCAGGUUCCAAGGCCGCAUGUGUGACC